CAGCGGUGGGACCUGAAACGGCUGCAGAAGGUAUUUUGGCAAGAAAUUCUGGUGCUGGAAAAUGCCUAAAGGGAUGAUAUUUCCCAAGUAGUGCUGAUGAAAUGUCAGGCAGAGCCUGGAGGAAACGAGAGAGUGGUGUAAGAAAGUGGAAACCUGAGAGUCACUGUUAAAACAUCACCCUGGUGCUGGCAGCACUGCAAGACUAUUGCAAAAGACAAGGAAGAGAGCGAUGAGAUGGGACUGUUGUAUGUCACUGCUCUCUGAGUUGGCCUUUUCCUUUGGAAUACCACCCAAGAACUGAAGGUGGAGUUUGGUCUGUGACAAGAGAAUGUGGAGCAAUCGUGGGCUCAUCCAAACAGUCCUGUGUCUGGUGGCAGUCAGGAAAGUGUCUGUGAUGGCUCCACAUUUCAUGGGCAGGUAAAACUGAGAGAGACAUCUGACUGAAGAGAAAACCAAACCAACCAACCAACCCCUCAUGAUGAAACAUGGAAAAGAAAAAAGUUCAGUAUGUGUCAGCUGUAGAGUUGAAAAUACCAUUUCCAGUAACUUCUGUCACAUCCCAUACAAUU